UCUCUCUCAGCUUACCUUCCCUCUCAUUCCCGGCAACACACCCAUGUCGAUACCCAAUGGAACACCCCGACAAUGACAACACCCUUGCCACAUUCACCAUCGUGGUAACUCUCUCCCUCUUUCUCUUCUCGGUGAAGCAUAGAGGCCACCCAACCCAUCCGCGAGCUCGAUUACUUCGAGCCUAGAUUCAGGCCACCUCCAGCUACCCCUUGUCGUGAAACAGGUGCAAUUAUUAGCGGUGAUUCCGUCAUUCCUAUUUCAUACGGCUCUACGACGACAGAGUAUCUGAUAUAGGAACGAGGAUUACGACCCGUGCUACGAGGCUUUCCCCUACCAGUGAUAUCGUGCCAUCACCUCUGCUUUGACAUCUUUGUGAUUGCACCUUCCAUUGUAUUCUGAAUUAGAUGUAUGCUCUAAACAUGUUAUGUAUUAUCAAUGUAUUUUCAUUGUUGGUAGUUGAA